AGGAGAGCUGCCAGCUCAGUGCUCAUCUCUGGGUAAGCUCAGGGCUGAGAGCUUCUGGCUCUCCUGGGGGAGUUUCACUGCUUACCCUGUGAGUGUGCCAAUGCACUCCUGGCAUACUGUAAUGGUGGUUGGAGUGCUUCUUUAAUAUCAAAAUGGUCUGUAAGCAAUUCACAUUAAAUCUGCAAUAUAAUUCACAUAAAUCGCUAUAGAAAAGUGAC